rnacentral:rRNA from 1 species
UCGGGAAUUUUGGGCAAUGGGCGAAAGCCUGACCCAGCAACGCCGCGUGAAGGAUGAAGUAUUUCGGUAUGUAAACUUCGAAAGAAUAGGAAGAAUAAAUGACGGUACUAUUUAUAAGGUCCGGCUAACUACGUGCCAGCAGCCGCGGUAAUACGUAGGGACCAAGCGUUGUUCGGAUUUACUGGGCGUAAAGGGCGCGUAGGCGGCAAUUCAAGUCAUCUGUGAAAUCUCCGGGCUUAACUCGGAACGGUCAGAUGAUACUGCUUUGCUAGAGUGCAGAAGGGGCAAUCGGAAUUCUCGGUGUAGCGGUGAAAUGCGUAGAUAUCGGAAGGAAUACCGGUGGCGAAGGCGUCUUCCUGGACUCUAACUGACACUGAGGCGCGAAAGCAUGGGGAUCAAACAGGAUUAGAUACCCCAGUAGUCCCUGAGCGGGCUGGCAAGGCGCAU